rnacentral:tRNA from 1 species
CCGUGCCCUGGCCGAGGGCGGAACCGGCGUCCGAGGCCGGCACCGACCCCAGCGCCUCGGCGGUCGCCGGGCUGGGCACGGUC